UAGCUUGACACUGAACAUUGAGCCUUGAUGUGUAGGAUAGGUGGGAGGCUUUGAAGCGUGGACGCCAGUCUGCGUGGAGCCGACCUUGAAAUACCACCCUUUAAUGUUUGAUGUUCUAACGUGGACCCGUUACCCGGGUUGCGGACAGUGUCUGGUGGGUAGUUUGACUGGGGCGGUCUCCUCCUAAAGAGUAACGGAGGAGCACGAAGGUUGGCUAAUCCUGGUCGGACAUCAGGAGGUUAGUGCAAUGGCAUAAGCCAGCUUGACUGCGAGCGUGACGGCGCGAGCAGGUGCGAAAGCAGGUCAUAGUGAUCCGGUGGUUCUGAAUGGAAGGGCCAUCGCUCAACGGAUAAAAGGUACUCCGGGGAUAACAGGCUGAUACCGCCCAAGAGUUCAUAUCGACGGCGGUGUUUGGCACCUCGAUGUCGGCUCAUCACAUCCUGGGGCUGAAGUAGGUCCCAAGGGUAUGGCUGUUCGCCAUUUAAAGUGGUACGCGAGCUGGGUUUAGAACGUCGUGAGACAGUUCGGUCCCUAUCUGCCGUGGGCGCUGGAGAACUGAGGGGGGCUGCUCCUAGUACGAGAGGACCGGAGUGGACGCAUCACUGGUGUUCGGGUUGUCAUGCCAAUGGCACUGCCCGGUAGCUAAAUGCGGAAGAGAUAAGUGCUGAAAGCAUCUAAGCACGAAACUUGCCCCGA
rnacentral:rRNA from 1 species